UGCCAGCCGCCGCGGUAAUACGGAGGGUGCAAGCGUUACUCGGAAUCACUGGGCGUAAAGGGUGCGUAGGCGGAUUAGUAAGUCUCGUGUGAAAUCCUACGGCUUAACCGUAGAACUGCACGGGAAACUGCUAAUCUAGAGUGUGUAAGAGGCAGGUGGAAUUAGUGGUGUAGGGGUAAAAUCCGUAGAUAUCACUAGGAAUACCGAAAGCGAAAGCGAUCUGCUGGGAAGUUAUUGACGCUGAGGCACGAAAGCGUGGGGAGCAAACAGGAUUAGAUA
rnacentral:rRNA from 1 species